GGGGUUCUAGCUCAUCGGUAGAGCGCUCCCUUAGCACUGCGAUUUGAUGCAAACUGCGUGGGAGAAGUAAUGGGUUCGACUCCUAUGUACUCCA